rnacentral:rRNA from 1 species
UACAGAGACCUCAAGCGUUAUCCGGAAUCAUUGGGCGUAAAGCGUGCCGAUAGGUGGUUGAAAUAGUCUUGGGUAAAAGCCAGAAGCUCAACUUCUGAGUUUGCUUAAGAUACUUUUCGACUAGAGGGGCAAAGAGGUGAUUGGAACGAAUGGUGUAGUAGUGAAAUGCGUUGAUAUCAUUCGGAACACCGAAAGCGAAGGCAGAUCACUGGGUGCCACCUGACACUGCUAGGACGAAAGCGUGGGGAGCGAAUGGG